GCCUGGGUGGCUCAGUUGAUGAAGCAUCUGACUUUGGCUCAGGUCAUGAUCUCGCGGUUGGUGGGUUCAAGCCCCACAUCCGGCU
rnacentral:tRNA from 1 species